GUCUUAUUGAUUAAAUAUAAUAAGUUUGUUCUGCCCAUUGAAUUUUAUUUAAAAGGCUGCAGUAUAUUGACUGUACAAAGGUAGCAAAAUCAAUAGUUUUUUAAUUGAAAACUUGAAUGAAAGAAUGAAUAAAAUAUAAACUGUCUUAAGUUAAAUUUAUGUGAAUUUAAAUUUAAAGUUAAAAUGCUUUAAUUAAUUUAUUAGACGAUAAGACCCUAAGAAUUUGAAAUUAUUUGUUGAUAAACUUAUUUUAUAAUUUUAAUUUUAUUAAUAAAUGAUUUUUUAUUGGGAGGAUAAUUAAAUUAUUAAACUUUAAUUUGUAUAAACAUAGAUAAAUGAAUAUGAAGAUAAUUAUUAUAAUUAUAAGAGUUAAUUACCUUAGGGAUAACAGCGUAAUAAUUUUGGAGAGUUCAUAUUAAUAAAAUUGUUUGCGACCUCGAUGUUGAAUUAAAAUAAAAAUUAAGUGAAGAAGCUUAAAAUUUUAGUCUGUUCGACUAUUAAAAUUUUACA
rnacentral:rRNA from 1 species